rnacentral:rRNA from 1 species
GACGAACGCUGGCGGCGUGCCUAAUACAUGCAAGUCGAACGCAGUGGGGACGGGUGAGUAACACGUGGGUAACCUCCCAUCAGAGGGGAUAACACUUGGAAACAGGUGCUAAACCGAUACUGAUGGAUGGACCCGCGGUGCAUUAGCUAGUUGGUGAGGUAACGGCUCACCUAGGCCACGAUGCAUAGCUGACCUGGGAGGGUGAUCGGCGACACUGGGACCGAGACAUGGCCCAGACUCCUAUGGGAGGCAGCAUUAGGGAACUGUCGGCAACGGACGAAAGUUUGACCGAGCCACGCCGCGUGAGUGAAGAAGGCUUUCGGAUCGGAAAACUCUGUUGUUAGAGAAGCGGUACCUACCCAGAAAGCCCCGGCUAACUACGUGCCAGCCGCCGCGGUAAUUC